rnacentral:misc_RNA from 1 species
UCCUCGUUUAAGCGAGGCAGUCUGUCCAGAGUGCUCCAAUCUCUCGAUUGAGUGGCAACAGGACACAGGGGUUGCGCUCGCUGCGGGACUUAACCCAACAUCUCACGACACGAGCUGACGACAGCCAUGCAGCACCUGUGCACGCUCCCCUUGCGGGGUCGUUACCCUUUCAGGCUCCUACUACGUGCAUGUCAAGGCCAGGUAAGGUUCUUCGCGUUGCAUCGAAUUAAGCCACAUACUCCACCGCUUGUGCAGGCCCCCGUCAAUUUCUUUGAGUUUUAGCCUUGCGGCCGUACUCCCCAGGCGGGGUGCUUAAUGCGUUAGCUACGGCACGGAAGGAGUUGACACCUCCCACACCUAGCACCCAUCGUUUACGGCGUGGACUAC